AGUGAAUAGAUACCCGGGUAGUCCUAGCCGUAAACGAUACUCGCUAGGUGUCGGCCACGGUGCGACCGUUGUCGGUGCCGUAGGGAAAGCCGUGAAGCGAGCCACCUGGGAAGUACGGCCGCAAGGCUGAAACUUAAAGGAAUUGGCGGGGGAGCACCACAACGGGUGGGGCUUGCGGUUUAAUUGGAUUCAACGCCGGAAAUCUUACCGGGACCGACAGCAAUAUGAAGGCCAGGCUGAAGACUUUGCCGGAUUAGCUGAGAGGUGGUGCAUGGCCGUCGUCAGUUCGUACUGUGAAAGCAUCCUGUUAAGUCAGGCAACGAGCGAGACCCACGCCCACAGUUGCCAGCGUACUCUCCGGAGUGACGGGUACACUGUGGGGACCGCCGCUGCUAAAGCGGAGGAAGGAAUGGGCAACGGUAGGUCAGUAUGCCCCGAAUAUCCCGGGCUACACGCGAGCUACAAUGGUUGGUACAAUGGGUAUCUACCCCGAAAGGGGAUGGAAAUCUCCUAAAGCCAAUCUUAGUUCGGAUCGAGGGCUGCAACUCGCCCUC
rnacentral:rRNA from 1 species